rnacentral:tRNA from 1 species
AGUAAGAUAAGCUAAACAAGCUUUUGGGUCCAUACCCCAAAAAUGUCGGUUAACCCCUUCUCUUAUUA